CCUACGGGAGGCAGCAGUGAGGAAUAUUGGUCAAUGGACGAGAGUCUGAACCAGCCAAGUAGCGUGAAGGAUGACUGCCCUAUGGGUUGUAAACUUCUUUUUUAUGGGAAUAAAAUGUUCCACGUGUGGGAUUUUGUAUGUACCAUAUGAAUAAGGAUCGGCUAAAUCAGUGCCAGCAGCCGCGGUAAUACGGAGGAUCCGAGCGUUAUCCGGAUUUAUUGGGUUUAACGGGAGCGUAGGUGGAUUGUUAAGUCAGUUGUGAAAGUUUGCGGCUCAACCGUAAAAUUGCAGUUGAAACUGGCAGUCUAGAGUACAGUAGAGGUAGGCGGAAUUCGUGGUGUAGCGGUGAAAUGCGUAGAUAUCACGAAGAACUCCGAUUGCGAAGGCAGCUCACUGGACUGCAACUGACACUGAGGCUCGAAAGUGUGGGUAUCAAACAGGAUUAGAUACCCGUGUAGUC
rnacentral:rRNA from 1 species